rnacentral:rRNA from 1 species
GGGCCCGCACAAGCGGUGGAGCAUGUGGUUUAAUUCGAUGAUACGCGAGGAACCUUACCAGGGCUUAAAUGUAGUGGGACAGGUCUAGAGAUAGACCCUUCUUCGGACUCAUUACAAGGUGCUGCAUGGUUGUCGUCAGCUCGUGCCGUGAGGUGUCAGGUUAAGUCCUAUAACGAGCGCAACCCCUGUUGUUAGUUGCCAGCGAUUCAAGUCGGGAACUCUAAAAAGACUGCCGGUUAUAAACCGGAGGAAGGUGGGGAUGACGUCAAGUCAGCAUGCCCCUUAUGCCCAGGGCUGCAAACACGCUACAAUGGCUGGUACAGAGGGCUGCGAACCCGCGAGGGCAAGCG